CUAGGUUCGGGGUUCGGUAGGUAAAGUUUUUUCGGCCAGGGAUGUGCUCGCGGCCUAUCAGCUUGUUGGUGGGGUAAUGGCCUACCAAGGCUUCGACGGGUAGCCGGCCUGAGAGGGUGACCGGCCACACUGGGACUGAGACACGGCCCAGACUCCUACGGGAGGCAGCAGUGGGGAAUAUUGGACAAUGGGCGGAAGCCUGAUCCAGCAACGCCGCGUGAGGGAUGACGGCCUUCGGGUUGUAAACCUCUUUCAGUACCGACGAAGCGCCGAUGAUGGUGGUGACGGUAGGUACAGAAGAAGCACCGGCCAACUACGUG
rnacentral:rRNA from 1 species